UUGUGAGUGAAUGAUUAAUAGCAUGCGGAUGACAACAUGAAUGCUAAACAGAGAGUGAAGGAGUGAGAGGGACAAAAGCCUGUGGGCCAUAAACUAAUACGCAAAUGCCUGUAAUAUGCAUUGUUCUAUAGUUACCCCUAUCUCAUUGUUUCAAAAAUUUAGUUUGCUUCUCAGAGAACUU